AAAAUAGGUGAAGCCAGCCUGGGAUUUAAUUUGUGUCAGCAUCCAAUAUCUAAAUAGAGAAUAUUUGUAUCAUCAGACCAAGCACCUGAGUUCAGGAGAAUAAAAUAAUAAUAAUGACCCUGAACUGGAACAGCUUUACAUUGAAGCGUUUAACAGUUAGGUUUAAGGACACUGAGCACUGUCAGUACAUAGAACCUGUCUAAUCAUGGACUCUGAACCAUAAAUCCUAAUGGCAAUGCAGGGGCAAACUGCAAAGGACAACUCAACUCCCACAGGUCAGGCUGGAGUGACUAUCUCAUACCCUCGUCUCUGAGUGCAGCUCCUCCAUACGACCACUCACAAACCAGCUCCUAUGGACUUGCAUGUGGCUGACCUCAGCCACACUGAGCGGUCGCUCUAACUUCAGUGUGACUCUUUU
rnacentral:lncRNA from 1 species